rnacentral:rRNA from 1 species
AUUGAACGCUGGCGGCAGGCCUAACACAUGCAAGUCGAGCGGAUGAGUGGAGCUUGCUCCAUGAUUCAGCGGCGGACGGGUGAGUAAUGCCUAGGAAUCUGCCUGGUAGUGGGGGACAACGUUUCGAAAGGAACGCUAAUACCGCAUACGUCCUACGGGAGAAAGUGGGGGAUCUUCGGACCUCACGCUAUCAGAUGAGCCUAGGUCGGAUUAGCUAGUUGGUGAGGUAAAGGCUCACCAAGGCGACGAUCCGUAACUGGUCUGAGAGGAUGAUCAGCCACAGUGGAACUGAGACACGGACCAGAAUCCUACGGGAGGCAGCAGUGGGGAAUAUUGGACAAUGGGCGAAAGCCUGAUCCAGCCAUGCCGCGUGUGUGAAGAAGGUCUUCGGAUUGUAAAGCACUUUAAGUUGGGAGGAAGGGCAGUAAGUUAAUACCUUGCUGUUUUGACGUUACCAACAGAAUAAGCACCGGCUAACUUCGUGCCAGCCGCCGCCGUAACAC